rnacentral:sRNA from 1 species
UGGGCCAUCUAAUUGUUUAGGACUAACAAGGAGAGUUUCUGUGAUUUACAUGUUUGCUGCUCAGGAUGCUUACACUGCCCAGACUGAGGAUCCUGAAGUCUGAUCAAAACUCGGCCACUGUGACAAUAGUACCCAGUAGUACAUAGUACCCACUAGUAGUCCACAGUAGUACAUGUAGUGUAGUAUGACACAAGGUGAGCCAGGGUCCCAUGAUACAAUCUCUUUAUGACUAUGACCUGUUUGUAUUUCAUCAUUUGGUCUUCCUAUUUACUCCUGUUAAGUGAAUACAGGUGUAGGCAAGUAGCAGGGAAGUUUUUCUUAUGCUUUUGCAUUAAAAAAAAUGCAUUCCUCUAACAUUUCUCUAAAUAUUUAAUCUGUGUAUGUAGUAAGUCUUUUUGGUUUUUCCUACCCUGAUACUUCGUACCUACUACUUUGACCAACUGAUCAAUAAUUUGUUAUUUAUUCUAUGGGAGGGAGAUGAUCCUAUUUUCUUGUAUAAAUUAGGGCCCAAACUCACCUAUGAUAGCCUCAAACAUUGCCAAGAACAAACAGAUAGUUAGAAUUUUCAGAGAUUUUUUGGUAUGUAGCAAUGCAACUUGUAAGAAAUGUGAAUAAUUUGAUGUUUCACAGAAGACGAGACUUUAGAAAACAAAUGGGGUACACUGACAAUAUAUUUUGUUGUAUAGAAAAUUUUGUUUAUUUAGAUAUCAAUUUUACAAGUUUUAUGAAUUUUAGGAUCAAAAUAAAAAAGUGAGUGUAU